rnacentral:rRNA from 1 species
AUCAAUAAGCGGAGGAAAAGAAACCAACAGGGAUUGCUCUAGUAACGGCGAGUGAAGCAGCAACAGCUCAGAUUUGAAAGGCUUCGGCCGUUGUAAUCUGCAGACGGGGGAAGGCGAGAGGAGCGUGCCAAGUCGCCUGGAACGGCGCGCCGGAGAGGGUGAUAGCCCCGUCCGCACCCUCCUCAACCCACUCUCCCCCGUUCGACGAGUCGAGUAGUUUGGGAAUGCUGCUCUAAACGGGAGGUAUACCCCUUCUAAAGCUAAAUACCCGCCUGAGACCGAUAGCGCACAAGUAGAGUGAUCGAAAGAUGAAAAGCACUUUGAAAAGAGAGUUAAAAGCACGUGAAAUUGCUGAAAGGGAAGCGUUCGUCGGCAGAGCUUGGAUUAUCCAGGCCUAAUGUCGCCGAAUGACCCGUCUUGAAACACGGACCAAGGAGUCAACGUUGUAUGCGAGUGUGUGGGUGUCAAGCCCUAGCGCGAAAUGAAAGUGAGCGAAGGAGCAGCUUCGGCCGGAGUAAUCUGAGCAAGAGCAUGCAGUGUUGGACCCGAAAGAAGGUGAACUAUGCGUGGAUAGGGUGAAGCCAGAGGAAACUCUGGUGGAGGCUCGCAGCGGUUCUGACGUGCAAAUCGAUCGUCGAAUCUGCGCAUGGGGGCGAAAGACUAAUCGAACCUUCUAGUAG